UACGUAGGGGGCAAGCGUUGUCCGGAUUUAUUGGGCGUAAAGAGCGUGUAGGCGGCCAGACAGGUCCGUUGUGAAAACUCGAGGCUCAACCUCGAGAUGUCGAUGGAAACCGUCUGGCUAGAGUCCGGAAGAGGAGUGUGGAAUUCCUGGUGUAGCGGUGAAAUGCGUAGAUAUCGAGAGGAACACCAGUGGCGAAGGCGAGUCUCUGGACAUUUCCUGACGCUGAGGCACGAAAGCCAGGGGAGCAAACGGG
rnacentral:rRNA from 1 species